rnacentral:rRNA from 1 species
CACGCCGCGUGAGUGACGAAGGUUUUCGGAUCGUAAAACUCUGUUGUGAGGGAAGAACAAGUACCAAUUAACUACUGGUACCUUGACGGUACCUCACCAGAAAGCCACGGCUAACUACGUGCCAGCAGCCGCGGUAAUACGUAGGUGGCAAGCGUUGUCCGGAAUUAUUGGGCGUAAAGCGCGCGCAGGCGGUCCCUUAAGUCUGAUGUGAAAGCCCACGGCUCAACCGUGGAGGGUCAUUGGAAACUGGGGGACUUGAGUGCAGAAGAGGAAAGUGGAAUUCCACGUGUAGCGGUGAAAUGCGUAGAGAUGUGGAGGAACACCAGUGGCGAAGGCGACUUUCUGGUCUGUAACUGACGCUGAGGCGCGAAAGCGUGGGGAGCAAACAGGAUUAGAUACCCUGGUAGUCCACGCCGUAAACGAUGAGUGCUAAGUGUUAGGGGGUUUCCGCCCCUUAGUGCUGCAGCUAACGCAUUAAGCACUCCGCCUGGGGAGUACGGCCGCAAGGCUGAAACUCAAAG